UUAUGCAUAUUUUAGUGCUAUUAAGCAUGAGGAGAAGAACGCUAAGUGCAUUGUUGUGAUGAACCAUAAUCCUGAGGUGUUUAUUAAUAUAAUUUAUUAUCAAUUUCAUAAAUCAACUAAACCAAAACUCAUAAUAAAUCUAAUAUUUAAAUCUUAGCUAAUUAACAUGGGUAGCUAAAAUCAUCAAAAUUAAACCACGAUAGAACUGUGUGCUUAUGGUUUUGCUAUCACUUAGCAAGUGAAUGUUAUUGGAAAUCCUUAAUAGGUUGUUUUGUUCUAAACCAUAUUUUAUUUAACCACCAA
rnacentral:lncRNA from 1 species